ensembl:lncRNA
AAAUUCCCCCAUAUACUUUCCCUCAUACUUUGAGGAAUAGGAAUCUCUUCCAGAUGAAAUGAAGGAACGACUUGACACAGUUCGCUUUAAUGGGGUGACAAAAUGAAUCACGACUCCUCCAAGUAUCCAUCACGACCAAAAAGGUCUACUGGUAGGGGCCAAAGUCAUUUGUUGGGCAGAGCUGGACACCCGGUUUGCGAGUCACAAUCAAUCAUGUUGGCACAGUGCGCCAAAAAAGGGAGGAAAGGGAAGAAAAAAGGUCUGUGGAAACGCGCGGACCAAAAUACGAUUCCCUCCCGUGCUAGUCUCACGGCGGCGCUCCUUUAUAUUCGGGGAAACAAAAGGAAAUAUGAGCGCAGUGUCAGUUUAUUGAGUAGAGAGGCUCGGGCAAAUUGCACAUGACGUUGGGUAGGUGGAUGGCCCGCGACUUAAAAUGAAGGUGUGGGGAGAGAAAAGGAGCGACUAUGUUUUAUUUAAACAUCCUUCGGGAGACUACAGGCUCAGGUAAUCUGUUGUGUUACAACUCAGUGCCCCGUUCCCCUCCAUCCGCCGCGAUAACAGCGAGCGCCUAAUAGGAACCCAUCAAUCACAAUAAGCUUCCAAUUUCGCCCGGUGUCUCUACACUCUCAGCCACUGUUUAACGUGCUCUAAUAACGGUGAUAACAUACUUCUAUAGCCGCAGAUAGCGACCCGAGCUCAGCCGAGAGGUCAUUUACCUCGCGCAGAUUAAACAGCGGUGAAGUCAGCAUCUCUUUUAACUGGAGGAUGUAUCUGUAGCCUAAUAUACGAGGAGAAAAGUGACAAGAUUCCGAGAAGAGCGAGGCAAAAGCUCAAAAGUGCUGUAUAAAAACACGAGUAGCCUUGAGAGAGGGCAUAGAUACACUGAUGGAAGCGGGAGAUCUGAUUGUGAUUAUGUUGCUUAUGCUUACCUAAUGAUUUUUGCUCCACUGGUUUGCUCGAUUUCACUGUCUGAGGAAAGGCAGUCUAUUAGAGUGUCAAGGUAACUGGAAUCGUCUGUAGCCCCUCUCUCUCACCCAUCUAUACCGUACACGACGAGCCUGCGAUGAGAAAGACCUACUAGAAGAGAUAAAUGCAUAGUGGCUGCAGUAGUGGUGCGGUAAUGAACAUGCCACAUUUGCAAGCCCGCGCCGUCAAAGCGCGCUAAUUACGGUCUUUAUCCAUAAGGCCUUCUUCCGACAUGUCACCGCCCCCCUAAAGCAAAUGUGUGAGAAUGAAAUUCAUUUUGCAACAGAUUGUAGGCCUACUUUUGUGUUGAACAAUAUCAGUCAUGUGCCGUGUUCCGAGGGUCAGGACUUUACACGGCAAAAUUAAAAGGUAAUUAAGGCCCCUUUUUGGGGUUUCAUUUAGAUUGUCAAGCUGUUUUAGGCAACAACCGAAUUACACAUUUCCUUAAAUUGUUUUGAGUCCUUGUAAGUAAAUGUUUUCAGGUGGUUGUCCAAAGCUUUUCGUCACUGUGGCAAUCUGAGGAACCCCAAAUGGUGCCUCAAGUAUAUUUUAAUUUUUACAAAGAAAGUAAGCUUUCUGGAAUUAUAGUCACCACUCGCAAGCACGUGUUCUAAAUGAACUCUUUAGACUAAAACGAGAUUUGGCUUCUUACUAAAUUUUCUCUAAAUCCCCAG